rnacentral:ncRNA from 1 species
UGAAAACUGGUUCGAGAUAACCCCAGUAUAAAAAACUAAGAAUGU